AUUGAACGCUGGCGGCAUGCCUUACACAUGCAAGUCGAACGGUAACAGGUUAAGCUGACGAGUGGCGAACGGGUGAGUAAUGUAUCGGAACGUGCCCAGUCGUGGGGGAUAACUGCUCGAAAGAGCAGCUAAUACCGCAUACGACCUGAGGGUGAAAGCGGGGGAUCGCAAGACCUCGCGCGAUUGGAGCGGCCGAGAUCAGAUUAGGUAGUUGGUGAGGUAAAGGCUCACCAAGCCGACGAUCUGUAGCUGGUCUGAGAGGACGACCAGCCACACUGGGACUGAGACACGGCCCAGACUCCUACGGGAGGCAGCAGUGGGGAAUUUUGGACAAUGGGCGCAAGCCUGAUCCAGCCAUGCCGCGUGCGGGAAGAAGGCCUUCGGGUUGUAAACCGCUUUUGUCAGGGAAGAAAAGGUUCUGGCUAAUACCUGGGACUCAUGACGGUACCUGAAGAAUAAGCACCGGCUAACUACGUG
rnacentral:rRNA from 1 species